CAAAAACCAUGCAACGUGACAAGCCAUGCAAGCCAUGCAAUGUGACAAAGGGCAAAGUGUACCUGGACAGCAAUGUCUGCAAACGAGGUGGAAGUGACAACAUGCGGUGGAUCCUGUGGCACCUACACCAUGUAUUCUCUUGAGGCCAACAUGAUGGAGCGCUCUUGUACCUGCUUUUGGGAAGUAUCCACCACC